GCCAUUUCAAAUCAAAAUAAAAGACUAGAAAGAAGGUCAACUGAAGAUGACAUAAUCUUCAUAAGAAGACGUGUGAGUCUAUCUUUCGAUUAGCAAAGAAGGAAGGAGGCAAAGCAAGGGUUUCUUCUUUCUUUCAGAGUGAGAAAGGGAAAGCAAACGAAUCGAAGCGUGGAGGCUUAAUCCCUACAAAUUAGAAUAAAAGAAAAACACUUGGAACUGGUUCUUCUAUCUGAUUCAUGUAGUUUCAGGUUUGCACAGUUGAAUUACACACGAAUUACU
rnacentral:lncRNA from 1 species